AAAGAAUUAGUUAAACAGAUAACAUUAGCUUGUCAAGCUAAAAUUAUUAUUAUAUAAUAUUCUUUG
rnacentral:tRNA from 1 species